AAAAAGAAAUGGACGGAUUUGAAGUCCAUGGCCAAAAAGAAAGAGAUGAAAAGAAGGAGAAUGGCGGCAGGGACUGGUGGAGGACCAGCCCCACCAGAGCUUUCUGCCUGAGAGGAACAGAUUAUCAGUGUCAUCCCAGAUGAGAUGGUAGAGGGAAUUUCUGGAGGUGUUGAUACAUUUG